rnacentral:rRNA from 1 species
GACGUAGGGCGCGAGCGUUGUCCGGAUUUAUUGGGCGUAAAGAGCGUGUAGGCGGCCAAGCAGGUCCGCUGUGAAAACUCGAGGCUCAACCUCGAGACGUCGGUGGAAACCGUUUGGCUAGAGUCCGGAGGAGGAGAGUGGAAUUCCCGGUGUAGCGGUGAAAUGCGCAGAUAUCGGGAAGAACACCCGUGGCGAAGGCGGCUCUCUGGGACGGUACUGACGCUGAGACGCGAAAGCGUGGGGAGCAAACAGG